rnacentral:lncRNA from 1 species
GUGGCAAUGCUUCCAACCAGGGGGUCAGCCGGGUUGCAGUCUGUGAGGAGGGAGCAGAUGGAGAGGAGAACUUUAGAAAUGGUUAAUGCUGGACUCCAGUUGUCUUUUAAAAUGUCCAGGCAGAUAACGCCUUGGCUGUUAAUGUUACAGUGAUAGAUCCUUGUCCGGAAUGUUACCUUAGGUGGUUUAAAAGGAUAGUCCGGUGAAAAGGUAAUGUCAAGGAAGAAAACUCCACCUUCAUAUACUGACCCUGGAGGCCCCAGUAUAGUUGACCUCCAUUCAUAAAUGUUGUCUCCUUUGGGUCCAGCACUACAGUUUGGAGGAGGGUCUAAUGUAAUUUCUGCAAGUUCUUUCUGAAUCCUUUUAGCACUAGUUGACAGCUUAGCAGCUGUUUUGCUUGAUAUUUUGCCCUCUUUUUUCUUGGGUUGAACUUGCUCCCUUUCUUGUUCGGGCUGAACACCUUCGCGCUGAUCUCCAUCAGAGCUGCCUCCACUGGUGCUCGGACUGUCAUCAACUCUCUGCCCCUCCGCAGACAUGGCAGAUGCUGCACUGUGCGCGGGGCUCUCCGGCUGGCGCGAGGCGCGGGCGGCGGGACGAUCCGUAGCGGCGGCCCCGGCUGCGGCCGGGCGAGGGGCUGGCGGGGGGCAGCGGCCGCUCACUGAGUCAUGAGCCCGCCCCGCGCUGCCUGCCGCCCGCCCGCUGCGCUCCCUUUCUUCUUUCUGCCCUUUUUCCCCUUUCCGAGCCGAGCGGCGGCCGCUGCCCGCGCCGCCUCUACCGCCGCCGCUCCUGCCCCCGCUGCCCGAACAGAAGUGAAGCCGCUGUCGCCGCGCGCGCGCGUCCCCGACGCCGACGCCUCCGCGCGCGCUCGCGCCAGGCCCC